GUUUAUGAUGGCUCAGCGGUUAAGAGCACUGACUGCUAUUCCUGAGGUCCUGAGUUCAAAUCCCAGCAACUACA
rnacentral:tRNA from 1 species